AAGGGACAGUCGCUGGAGGCCGGGUCUUGAGGAGGUGUUGACCCAAAGUAUUUUCUCUCAUGCCUGGCCACGCUGCCCUGGACCCUCCACCCAGCCGAAUAUGACACAUCUCCAGAAACCCAGCAGGCGCAAGCCGCAGGGUUGGCCUUAAAAUCCUGCUUAAACAGGAGACCCUGGAGGCCUGCUUCAGUGCCACCAGCCUAACCGCCAGGGCUCAUCAAAGACGCUGCCCAGAUGCAUUGAACCCAUACAGGUCCCUGGGAGAGUCCUCAGAAAAACGAGAUGGUUUGCAU
rnacentral:lncRNA from 1 species